rnacentral:rRNA from 1 species
CACUCCUACGGGAGGCAGCAGUGGGGAAUUUUGGACAAUGGGCGAAAGCCUGAUCCAGCAAUGCCGCGUGUGUGAAGAAGGCCUUCGGGUUGUAAAGCACUUUUGUCCGGAAAGAAAUCCUUGGCUCUAAUACAGUCGGGGGAUGACGGUACCGGAAGAAUAAGCACCGGCUAACUACGUGCCAGCAGCCGCGGUAAUACGUAGGGUGCGAGCGUUAAUCGGAAUUACUGGGCGUAAAGCGUGCGCAGGCGGUUUGCUAAGACCGAUGUGAAAUCCCCGGGCUCAACCUGGGAACUGCAUUGGUGACUGGCAGGCUAGAGUAUGGCAGAGGGGGGUAGAAUUCCACGUGUAGCAGUGAAAUGCGUAGAGAUGUGGAGGAAUACCGAUGGCGAAGGCAGCCCCCUGGGCCAAUACUGACGCUCAUGCACGAAAGCGUGGGGAGCAAACAGGAUUAGAUACCCCGGUAGUCCCAU